AGAAGCAUAAGAAGGAUUCUUCUUCAUCUGAACGGAGUGUGGAAAAAGCCUCUAAAAAAAAAAGAAGAAGAAGUCAAAGGCCUCCAGCUCCAGCUCUGAGGAAAGUGAUGGUGAUGAGAAAAAGAAGAAAAAGGACAAGAAACAUAAGAAGCACAAGAAACACAAGAAGCACAAGAAACAUAAGAAACGCAAAGAGGAUGCAAGUAGUUCUGAUUCCGAUGUUGACUCAGAACCUUCUGAAGAACGUGAGCAGCGCCUUCGUGAAAAAGCUCUCAAGUCCAUGAAGAAGCAGAAGCAACAGAAGCAGUCAGAAGAAAGUGGUAGCUCAAGUGACUAAAAGCGGCUUAACAGUGUUCUCUCCCUUGAAGCCAUACAUCGCAGUUUGUUUCGCGCAGUGGUCACAGAUUUUUCCAGCAAGUGGUUUCCAGCUCUUCUCAUCCCUCAUUAGUUUUCGUCAACUGACAUCUGUUUCUGCUGACCUACAUGAGUCAUCAUUGCUUUCCCCGAUCUUCGUUCAUCAGCAUCUUUACUCCUCUGCUGUAUGUACUCCAUCUCAACAAGGAUCUGGCCUCCAUCGUCAUCUUCUUGCAUUUUCAUCCCGUUGCGGAAGCUCAUCUUUAUCUGUAAUCUACCCUGUUCCUGUUUUGCACAUCCCAAGUCUCUUCAUUUCCUCUGCCUGGCCUUGUGAAGGAAGUCUCUCAUUUUUUGCAUGGAACGAAGCAGCCUCUAUGGAGUCCUGAGUCUAUGACCUGCUGCAAAGGACUGGACAUGUGUUGAACCAAAAUUCAUUUCAGGUUUGCUGCUAAAGAGCCAAAACAACAGUAGAAGAGUUGGAAACCUUUGCUUGGAACUGUAUUCACACUUCGGUCUUUUCGAGUAUCAAUAGAUAUUUUUACUUAUUUUUCAUUGCUUAUUUUAGGGCUGUGCGAAUGUGGUUUUUUUGAUGUCGAAUCGAAUCGAAUCGAUAUUUGAAAAAGUUUCGAAUUCGAAUCGAAUCGAAUAUUUUUAGUUUUAUCUAUUUUUAACCAAAAGUAACCUCUGUGUUAGUCGAAGUAUAAAUCAAUGAAUAAUUAUUUUUUUUCUAACAUUCAAAUUUUGAAUAAAGAAUAUUAUUAG
rnacentral:lncRNA from 1 species